CACUAAUUCUAAGAUUUUUCUUGUGACUACCCCCAAUAUUUUGUGAACUGAAAAAUUAAUGAGGGUAGCCCAUUCGUUUUAAACUAUGAAGUACCAGGAGCACAUAACGUAUGAAGAGGUGUUUGCGUUCAAUUUUUUCGACCUACCCACUAAUUCUAAGAUUUUUCUUGUGACUACCCCCAACAUUUUGUUUAAAUUC